rnacentral:rRNA from 1 species
GCGGCCGAUUAGGUAGUUGCUGGGGUAACGUCCCAACAAGCCGAUUAUCGGUACGGGUUGUGAGAGCAAGAGCCCGGAGAUGGAUUCUGAGACACGAAUCCAGGUCCUACGGGGCGCAGCAGGCGCGAAAACUUUACACUGCGCGAAAGCGCGAUAAGGGGACCUCGAGUGCGUGCGCAAAGCGUACGCUUUUCAGAUGCCUAAAAAGCAUCUGGAAUAAGGGCCGGGCAAGACCGGUGCCAGCCGCCGCGGUAACACCGGCGGCUCAAGUGGUGGCCGCUAUUAUUGGGCUUUAAAGGGUCCGUAGCCGGACCAGUUAGUCCCUUGGGAAAUCUUACGGCUUAACCGUAAGGCUGCCAAUGGAUACUGCUGGUCUUGGGACCGGGAGAGGCAAGAGGUACCUCAGGGGUAGGAGUGAAAUCCUGUAAUCCUUGAGGGACCGCCAGUGGCGAAGGCGUCUUGUUAGAACGGGUCCGACGGUGAGGGACGAAAGCUAGGGGCACGAACCGGAUUAGAUACCCGGGUAGUCCUAGCCGUAAACGAUGCGAGCUAGGUGUCACGUGGAUUGCGAAUCCAUGUGGUGCCGAAGGGAAACCGUGAAGCUCGCCGCCUGGGAAGUACGGCCGCAAGGCUGAAACUUAAAGGAAUUGGCGGGGGAGCAC